GAUGAACGCUGGCGGCGUGCCUAAUACAUGCAAGUCGAGCGAACGGACGAGAAGCUUGCUUCUCUGAUGUUAGCGGCGGACGGGUGAGUAACACGUGGAUAACCUACCUAUAAGACUGGGAUAACUUCGGGAAACCGGAGCUAAUACCGGAUAAUAUUUUGAACCGCAUGGUUCAAAAGUGAAAGACGGUCUUGCUGUCACUUAUAGAUGGAUCCGCGCUGCGUUAGCUAGUUGGUAAGGUAACGGCUUACCAAGGCAACGAUGCAUAGCCGACCUGAGAGGGUGAUCGGCCACACUGGAACGGAGACACGGUCCAGACUCCUACGGAGGCAGCAGUAGGGAAUCUUCCGCAAUGGGCGAAAGCCUGACGGAGCAACGCCGCGUGAGUGAUGAAGGUCUUCGGAUCGUAAAACUCUGUUAUUAGGGAAGAACAUAUGUGUAAGUAACUGUGCACAUCUUGACGGUACCUAAUCAGAAAGCCACGGCUAACUACGUG
rnacentral:rRNA from 1 species